rnacentral:rRNA from 1 species
GACGAACGCUGGCGGCGUGCUUAACACAUGCAAGUCGAACGGAAAGGCCCUGCUUUUGUGGGGUGCUCGAGUGGCGAACGGGUGAGUAACACGUGAGUAACCUGCCCUUUACUUUGGGAUAACUUCAGGAAACUGGGGCUAAUACCGGAUAGGAGCUCCUGCUGCAUGGUGGGGGUUGGAAAGUUUCGGCGGUUGGGGAUGGACUCGCGGCUUAUCAGCUUGUUGGUGGGGUAGUGGCUUACCAAGGCUUUGACGGGUAGCCGGCCUGAGAGGGUGACCGGCAACAAUGGGACUGAGAUACGGCCCAGACUCCUACGGGAGGCAGCAGUGGGGAAUAGUGCACAAUGGGCGGAAGCCUGAUGCAGCAACGCCGCGUGCGGGAUGACGGCCUUCGGGUUGUAAACCGAUUUCGCCUGUGACGAAGCGUGAGUGACGGUAAUGGGUAAAGAAGCACCGGCUAACUACGUG